AAUUAAAUCUUUAGGUAGUAAUAAACCAUCAUGUAUUGGCGGUCCUUAAUAAUUAGAGAAACUCGCUUUAUAAUCGUAAAUACUCGAUAAUUUUCACUUUUUAUAAAAGCCUAUAUACCGCCGUUUAGAAGUUGUAUUCAGCAUAAAUUUCCAUAACUUUAACUUAUUAGAAAAAAUCAGGUCAAGGUGUAGCUAAUAAAAAAGAAAAAGUAAGUUACAUUAAAUAUAAUUUAAGAAUAUUUAAAAAAAUUUCAAAUUGAAAGAGAAUUUAUAUGUACUUAAUAAUUAAAAAUUAAUAAAGAAUAAAACAUUAGGGAUGU
rnacentral:rRNA from 1 species